GACAGGGGGUGCAAACGUUGUUCGGAAUUACUGGGCGUAAAGCGCGUGUAGGCGGUUCGUAAAGUCGGAUGUGAAAGCCCUGGGCUUAACCCAGGAAGUGCAUUCGAAACUCACGAACUUGAGUCCCGGAGAGGAAGGCGGAAUUCUCGGUGUAGAGGUGAAAUUCGUAGAUAUCGAGAGGAACAUCUGUGGCGAAGGCGGCCUUCUGGACGGUGACUGACGCUGAGACGCGAAAGCGUGGGGAGCAAACAGG
rnacentral:rRNA from 1 species